rnacentral:rRNA from 1 species
CACGUAGGGGGCGAGCGUUGUCCGGAUUUAUUGGGCGUAAAGAGCUCGUAGGCGGCUCAGUAAGUCAGGUGUGAAAACUCCAGGCUCAACCUGGAGACGCCACCUGAUACUGCUGUGGCUAGAGUCCGGUAGGGGAGCAUGGAAUUCCUGGUGCAGCGGUGAAAUGCGCAGAUAUCAGGAGGAACACCAGUGGCGAAGGCGGUGCUCUGGGCCGGAACUGACGCUGAGGAGCGAAAGCGUGGGGAGCGAACAGG